CCGCCAUGAUUGUGAGGCUUCCCCAGCCAUGUGGAAACAUAUUCGCAGAGCACCCACUAGGUGCCAGUAAAUGUAUGAGAAGUCCUGUGGAAUAAGACUGAAGUUGUCCUUGCCUUCAAGCAACUUGCAAUUGCCUAAGAACACAGUUUAAAACCACAAAACUAAGCCUUGGAAAUCACAUGCUGUCAUUUCUGCGAUCGGUCAUAACCAGUCCUGAUUCCAUGUUAGAGGAGACUACAUAAGGACACAGGUACCAGAAGAUGAAAAAUUUGGAGUCUAGUGAAAAGAAGUGACUUGCUCAAAAUCACACAGCACAUGAAGAACAGAGCCUCUAUGAUGAAUUUCUUGACAGCUGAUAUAAGUCUUUUGAGGUACAGCCUGGCACAAAAAGGAUGAGAUUUGUGGGCAGAAUUUUGGAAGAAUAUCUCCCGAGAGAACAUUCAGGACAGAUUGCACUGCUUUGGAGAGCUGGUGAUGAAAUCCGGCCAUUGAAUUACACUGCACUAUAAACUUCAUUUGUUCUUGGGUGCAUAGUGAUUUGCUAUAAUAAUGAUCAUCCAUUUGCCAGACAGCUGAGAUUUUUUAAAAGCUUGAUUGCUUUUGGCAUGGCAUUAUUAGUCCUGGAAGAAGGCAGCACAUUUGUAGCAAUUCUCAGCUUGAGCAAACUAGAAUAUUCACCUCCCACAAAUGCUGGCCAUUUAAGAUCUGUGUGUUAGACUUUGGCAUUUUUUCUAGCAAUUCUACAACAGCAUACACACUUUUAUUUUUCAUUAACACCAUUGUGAAUAUGCCCAUCUCUAAAAUUUCAAGGGGGUUCACUUAAGCUACUGAGUUUUAUGGACAGAAGGGCCAAGAAAAGUCCCCAAAGAAGAGUGCAUGCUGUCAAUUGCCAAUUAUUUUUUUUUCUAAUGAAAGCCAAACAAUUCCAGACAAACCCUUUUCUAAGAAAUGAACUACAUAUCUGGAUCCAAAUAAAUACUCAUCUGAUAAGAAUCUAAAAGCUCUACUGAAUUACAGUGGAUGAGAACAUGAUGAUGGUGAUUCUUUGAAGAUUACUGAGGAAAUCAACUCUCAUGUCUGAUUCUGAUACUUUUAUAGUCCAUCCAUGUUGAAAAUGUCUAUGGAAUGAUUCUGUUGUACCUUGAGAAAUGAAAUUCAUAGGCAUGGAUUCUCUCACACAGCAACUUUAUACACAAAGAUGAGAAUAGAAGAAAGGUCAUUUCCAAAGAAAGUGACAUUUAUUCUGUAUUCACUGAAAAGCCAAAAGAAUUUUCUCAUUCACCCAUACCGACAGAGCCCUACAUCUCCCCGAGAAGAGGUGAAAGAGACUGCUCCUAUCUGCUUCUGCAUCAAACUUCAGGCUCAAGACCUGUCCAGAAAAAAAAAUGUCUUCUUUCAGGGAUGAACUGCUGUCCUCAUCAGACGCCUUAUUUUGUUUAGAAUUCAAGCUCACUUGACAGGAUCCCAUUGAGGAUGCCACAUUAUGUUUCAUUGCCAUGUCUCCAUAGACUCUUCUUGGUUGUGAUGGUUUCUCACGCUUUUCUUGGUUUUGAAGACGUUGACAAUUUUCUUCCAUUGGGAUUUGCUUGAUGCUUUUCUCAUGAUUACACUGGAACUGUGACUUUUUAGAAGGAAGAUCAUAGAGGAGAAGAAACUGAGGUUCAAGGACUAGUAACCAGCAGCAGAUCACACAGCUGGAAGACAACUAAGAGCAAAAAAACAGGCACAAUUAAAGUGCUAAGAAAUCACUGCAGACAGAGAACCUGACACUGACAAGGAG
rnacentral:lncRNA from 1 species